rnacentral:rRNA from 1 species
AUGGCAGAAUACUUUGCUUAUUAUUCUCUUCAAUUAUUUCUAGAUUACAACGAUGCCAAUGUUCAGGAGUUAAUCUACUGCAAAAAAAAUGACACACCAUUGUCAAGUUGGAAGGAAUUCUGCCUGCUGUAUCUAUUUGUUUUUCUGCUUCUGGCAUAUCCACCGACUCUGUUAACACCAAACAAAGUAACAAACUUGACAAAACUGAAACUCAUCUCCCAGAUUUCUCUAUGCACCGCCAUAGAUUCCGAUUUGUCCAUUGUCUUUAUAACUUACAUUUUGUAUGUAUCUGAAAGCUAA